GACGAACGCUGGCGGCGUGCUUAACACAUGCAAGUCGAACGGAAAGGCCCUGCUUUUGUGGGGUGCUCGAGUGGCGAACGGGUGAGUAACACGUGAGUAACCUGCCCCUGACUUUGGGAUAACUUCAGGAAACUGGGGCUAAUACCGGAUAGGAGCUCCUGCUGCAUGGUGGGGGUGGGAAAGUUUCGGCGGUUGGGGAUGGACUCGCGGCUUAUCAGCUUGUUGGUGGGGUAGUGGCUUACCAAGGCUUUGACGGGUAGCCGGCCUGGGAGUGGGACCGGCCACAUUGGGACUGGGAUACGGCCCAGACUCCUACGGGAGGAAGCAGUGGGGAAUAUUGCACAAUGGGCGGAAGCCUGAUGCAGCAACGCCGCGUGCGGGAUGACGGCCUUCGGGUUGUAACCCGCUUUCGCCUGUGACGAGGCGUGAGUGACGGUAAUGGGUAAAGAAGCACCGGCUAACUACGUG
rnacentral:rRNA from 1 species